rnacentral:misc_RNA from 1 species
AAAGUCGUAACAAGGUCUCCGUAGGUGAACCUGCGGAGGGAUCAUUAACGAACGGCCCGCCCUCGGGCCCAAGUACCCCAAAACCUGUGGAACAGAGACGUGCUUCGACGAACCCUUCGGGGGUCGUCGCAUUUAUGCAAGUACAUGUCGUUCUCGUCUGAUUCUAUGAGAAAAUCAAAACUUUCAACAAAGGAUCUCUUGGCUCUC